rnacentral:rRNA from 1 species
CGAAGAACCUUACCUGGGCUUGACAUGUAGGUGACAGGUGUGGAAACACACCCUCCCUUCGGGGCACCUUCACAGGUGGUGCAUGGCUGUCGUCAGCUCGUGUCGUGAGAUGUUGGGUUAAGUCCCGCAACGAGCGCAACCCUCGUUCUAUGUUGCCAGCGGAUAAUGCCGGGGACUCAUAGGAGACUGCCGGGGUCAACUCGGAGGAAGGUGGGGAUGACGUCAAGUCAUCAUGCCCCUUACGUCUUGGGCUGCACACAUGCUACAAUGGUCGGUACAAAGGGCUGCGAGACCGCAAGGUGGAGCGAAUCCCAAAAAGCCGGCCUCAGUUCGGAUUGGGGUCUGCAACUCGACCCCAUGAAGUCGGAGUCGCUAGUAAUCGCAGAUCAGCAACGCUGCGGUGAAUACGUUCCCGGGUCUUGUACACACCGA